GGGAAAGUGGCUCAGUGGUAGAGCGCUUGCCUUGUAUGCCUGAGGCCCUGGGUUCGAUUCCCCAGCACCA
rnacentral:tRNA from 1 species